rnacentral:tRNA from 1 species
GGCCAGUUAGCUCACUUGGUUAGAGCGUGGUGCUGAUAACACCAAGGCUGUGGGUUCGAUCCCCGUUGGGUCC